rnacentral:rRNA from 1 species
CCUACGGGGAGCAGCAGUGGGGAAUAUUGGACAAUGGGGGAAACCCUGAUCCAGCAACGCCGCGUGAGUGAAGAAGUAUUUCGGUACGUAAAGCUCUAUCAGCAGGAAAGAAAAUGACGGUACCUGACUAAGAAGCCCCGGCUAACUACGUGCCAGCAGCCGCGGUAAUACGUAGGGGGCAAGCGUUAUCCGGAUUCACUGGGUGUAAAUGGAGCGUAGACGGCCAUGCAAGCCAGGGGUGAAAGCCCGGGGCCCAACCCCGGGACUGCCCUUGGAACUGCAUGGCUGGAGUGCGGGAGGGGCAGGCGGAAUUCCUGGUGUAGCGGUGAAAUGCGUAGAUAUCAGGAGGAACACCGGCGGCGAAGGCGGCCUGCUGGACCGCGACUGACGUUGAGGCUCGAAAGCGUGGGGAGCGAACAGGAUUAGAUACCCUAGUAGUC